AUGUGUUUUUACCUAAAUAUGCAUUUCUGUCAGGCAUGCAUCACCCGGCUACCAAAAAGCAUCGCCUGGCACUCAAACCUACAUUUUUCCACGCUUCUGGUCAUCCCAAUGUCGCCUGGCGAGCUCGGGGCGACAACUGACAGUAAGUUGAAUAACCAGCACAGUUUCACCCAUAACUUGAGAACUGUAACUCUGAUUUGCGCACGAUCAGAAGCGUUGGAAAGCUUAUUCAAUAAUCUAUCUAAUAAUUUCUAA